CGAAGGGUGCGAGCGUUAUUCGGAAUAACUGGGCGUAAAGAGCGUGAAGGCGGUCUUUUAAGUCACUUGUUAAAGGGCUCGGCUUAACCGAGUGCAUGCGGGUGAAACUGGGAGACUAGAGUGCGGGAGAGAAAGGUAGAAUUCUCGGAGUAGCGGUAAAAUGCGUAGAUCUCGAGAGGAAUACCGGUUGCGAAGGCGGCCUUUUGGCCCGUAACUGACGCUCAAGCGCGAAAGCGUGGGGAGCAAACAGGAUUAGAUACCCUGGUAGUCCACGCCGUAAACGAUGAUCACUAGAUGUGGGUUGUGCAUAGCAUAAUCUGUGUCGAAGCUAACGCGUUAAGUGAUCCGCCUGGGAAGUACGGUCGCAAGAUUA
rnacentral:rRNA from 1 species